UUGUGAAUGAAGUUUGAUAGUUCGAUGAAAUUUUCUGGCGAGAAUAUUUUUAGAAUUGAUGGUAAGUCCUUGUACCUUUCGAAGAUUUUAAAUUGUUUCCUUUCGUUGCAGAAUUUUGGGCAAACAAAAAUUUGGUGAUUCUCACUUUCAGUGAUUCCACAAAGUGUGCAGAUGUCUGAGCUCUCGAAUUUAAUGCGAUGUGACAUCUUGCUUGCUAAUGAACCAGUAAGAUUUUGGUGGUGUGUUGAAUUGUGAAAAAUAAUCAUAAAUUGCAGAGUAUGCGUCUGUAAUUGAAGCAUUGGUGGUAAUUAUAGAGCCAACUGUAGCUGCGUGCUUAGCAAAAUAAUCGACUAGUUCGUUUGCUGGUAUGCCAAUAUGCGAGGGAGUCCAUAUGAAAAUAAGCGAUUUUAUUUCAGAUGAAUCGCACUUUAGCGUUUUCUUCUGGUGGAUAUGGGCUUUGGUUGUUUGCUGAUUCUGGAAUGACUAUUUGUUAAAAUUUCUUUAAAACAUCAAGACCUUCUGUGCAAUUAAGAGACUAACUUUAGAAAAAUUUUGAUGAUCAAAUACUGCUUUGGAUGGAUUUACGUGGAUUGGUUUUGCAAUGGCAUCUUGAUUUUUAUACCCUA
rnacentral:sRNA from 1 species